CUAUUCACACACCCCCCCCCCCCCCCCAUGCUGUCCAUCUCCCCCUGGCAGAGGCUCCAGCAUGCAUUCACAGAGAUCUGGUGGACUAGCACUGUGCCUGGGGAUAGCAUGGCCAAAAAAGAACUCCGGAAAGAAAGAAAAGUGCAGUACCUGAGACCGUGAUCGUUAUCAAAGGAACUUUUCGGCACAAACCCAAGAUUGAGAUGGGAAAUCGUUUGUUCAGGAGGACUUGUGUAGAAUCAUGUUCCAGUAUUCAAUGUAUUGUGAAAGAUUUUUUUUUUUUCUAAAAUAACUUUUGAAAUGCAGUAUUAUUUUUACUUGUUUUUCUCAGCAAGUCUUCUAUCAAUUACAUGUAUCUUUAGCUUAAGCCUUUGAGUGAUUCUGGAAAUUUCUUGAGUAACAUUGUAAGUCUGUGUGAAGAAAAACCAUGAUGUCAACACAAAGCGCAUUACUAUGUUCACCCAGGUGCUUGUGGUUUUAAACAGUGGAAGGGCCCGGUGUUAUCACUCCUAUGGAGAUGGUAAUUGGCGUGAGCAAGGGCCAUCUCCAUCAGCCUUGUGAGCCUCUCUUGCCUCAGCCUCAGUCACAUUUGUCUCGUUUGACCAAACAGCCCUUCACACGGAGCAGUGGUGUCACACACAGUGUUUUCGUUCAUAUCUUCUGCUUCAUUUUAAGUCGAUCCCACUCACUGUAUUCCAUAUAUCCUGUAGAAAUAAUCUGUUGCUCUCAAAGAGAUUGGUUCAUCUGAGAGCAGAGGCAGACUGCACGUUUCUCUCUCCUGUACCACCAUGUUACAUAUUCUCGAUUGUAGGUGAGUCAGAGCGAUAGGGAGUCUGUUUGGCUGUUAUGGAAAUGAAAUGUUUUCACCAUGGUGUUGCAUACUUCAAAUGAAAAAAAAAAAAAGAAAAUGGAUGCCUUGACUGACAAAUGAAGUAAUCUCUCUUGCAGUUAAUUUUGUAAGUGAAGAUGUUUGUAUGCGUGUGUGUAUGUCAGUGUGUGUAUGUCAGUGUGUAUGUGUAUAUAUUAUAUAUAUAUAUAAAAGUAUAUAUUUACUCUGUUGUGCACUACCCUUUAUUUUGGAUGCUGUGUAACUGAAGAGAAUCAAGUCCUAUAGUCCUUGCAAUAAACUGGAAUUGUAGUUAGUUGAAUGGACUAUGAAUUUGACAAUUUUGAUCUGUAAUGGAAUUCAUUAAAUGUAUCAUUGGCUUUGCCUUA